rnacentral:rRNA from 1 species
AGUGAACGCUGGCGGUAGGCCUAACACAUGCAAGUCGAACGGCAGCACAGUAAGAGCUUGCUCUUACGGGUGGCGAGUGGCGGACGGGUGAGGAAUACAUCGGAAUCUACUUUUUCGUGGGGGAUAACGUAGGGAAACUUACGCUAAUACCGCAUACGACCUACGGGUGAAAGCAGGGGAUCUUCGGACCUUGCGCGAUUGAAUGAGCCGAUGUCGGAUUAGCUAGUUGGCGGGGUAAAGGCCCACCAAGGCGACGAUCCGUAGCUGGUCUGAGAGGAUGAUCAGCCACACUGGAACUGGGGCACGGUCCAGGCUCCUAAGGGAGGCAGCAGUGGGGAAUAUUGGACAAUGGGCGCAAGCCUGAUCCAGCCAUACCGCGGGGGUUAAGAAGGCCUUCGGGUUGUAAAGCCCUUUUGUUGGGAAAGAAAAGCAGCAGGUUAAUACCCCGCUGUUCUGACGGUACCCAAAGAAUAAGCACCGGCUAACUUCGUG